rfam:Triticum aestivum genome assembly, contig: Triticum_aestivum_CS42_TGACv1_scaffold_051441_1BS
UUAUUACUACCUCCAUCCGAAAAUACUUGUCAUAGAAAUGCAUAAAAAUGGAUGUAUCUAGAGCUAAAAUACGUCUAGAUACACCCAUUCCUCCGACAAGUAUUUCAGGACGGAGGGAGUACUAA